rnacentral:rRNA from 1 species
UACAGAGGUCCCAAGCGUUGUUCGGAUUCACUGGCGUAAAGGGUGCGUAGGCGGUCGGGUAAGUCUGAUGUGAAAUCUCACAGCUUAACUGUGAAACUGCAUUGGAUACUAUUCGGCUUGAGAGUUGGAGGGGGGACUGGAAUUCUUGGUGUAGCAGUGAAAUGCGUAGAUAUCAAGAGGAACACCAAAGGCGAAGGCAGUGUCCUGGGGAGUACCGUGACGCUCAGGUGCGAAAGCCAGGGGAGCGGA